ACUCGCUAGCCGUUUAUCCAAAGGCAAGGUUUCUGUUUGAGUCUGUGUGAGAAGAGAGCACUAAUAAAACCCUUCUCAACUCUGAUGAUAAUAAUAAUAAUAGUUGUGAAUUGAAAUUCGGAGGAAUAUGGGAACGCUUCCUCUCACAAGUAAACCCUUAUUCACUCAGUUUCAUUGCUUUUCAUCACACAGAAGAAGAACUACAACGACAACCGUUUCUCUGAAUCAGAGACACAAGGUCUUCGCCUCACGAUUACAUUCACAAGAUGAAGAACCCCCUCAACUCGAUAGCUACGACCUCAUGGAACUCAAGUUCGGUCGGUUAAUCGGAGAGGACCCCAAGCUCACUCUUGCCAAGAUAAUGGGAAGAAAGGCUAAUCCUAAUGCUUCGUAUCUAGAUAUUGAGAAGGCGUUUUAUAAGAAGGGUAAAAUUGUGGAAGUGGAGGAAGUUCCAUUUGAAGGGUCUAAGGGAGGGAAAUUAUCAGGUAAACUGGAUGGCUUGAAUUUGGCGCGUCCAGUUCCGGUCAAGGGAGUAAAAUUUAAAGCUGAUGAUAACAAACCUGUAGUGGAGAUUAAGAAACCUGUCCGAACUGAUAAGAUGGUGGGGGAUGUUAGGAAAACUAGUGUUCCCAAUGUUAUUCUCAGAAAGCCAACUGUGUAUAAAGAGGAUGAUGAUGAGGACAAGUCCUCGAGGUUGAGGAUAAGGCCAAAUUUGUCGCUGAAAAUGCGGGAUGAGCAAGUGAAGGAUAAGUUUAGUGACAUGACGCUGUUGAGGAAGCCUGAACCACCUGUUGCCAAGAAUGCUGAUACGGUUGAAGAGCCUAAAACUUGUUUGGAUGACCAAGGGGACAAUGAUGGUGAGUUGAAGGUGUGGAAUGAAGAGCUGAUUGAUGAAAUUGGUAACUUGACCUUGUUGGAACGGCCGCACAAAUCAAGUGGCAUAAAAGAAGAAGAGCAGUUUGGAGAAAUGAAUGUCACCGUCCCAAGUGAUAGAUUGAAGCAACGUGAGCAGAGUCAACCGGAGUUCCAUCAGGUGCCAGCUGAUUUAUGUCAAUCAUCAGAUUUAAAGUCCGUUGAUUCUAGAGUGGAAUUGUCUGUGGAAGCUGCACUACAUGCAAAGCCAAAAAGAUUAGAUCAAUAUGAGAAACAAACCUCAAAAUUUGUUGGAGAAGAGGAUGCUUCCCAUACUCCUGAAGGUCACAGAAACAAUGAUGAUUUAGGGAAUGUUGUUGAUGCAUCAAACUUUCAGGAAAGUGAAGAUGCUGACUGGACCAGGGCAGAGGACUUGAUUAAGACUGGAGAUAGGGAAGUUGUAGAAUUAGUAAGCUGCAAUAUGAAAGGUUUCAUGGUUUCUUUUGGUUCCUUAGUAGGAUUUCUGCCAUACCGUAAUCUUACUUCCAAGUGGAAGUUCUUAGCUUUUGAGUCUUGGUUAAAACAUAAGGGUUUGGAUCCCUCCAUGUACAAGCAAAAAUCAGGCACUAUUACAAGUUAUGAUGGUGAAAAUAAGAAUUUUCCUCCUGAAUCUCCUCCUUAUCUGGAGCUUGAUGGUAAAGUUGAAGAUGAAAUUUCAACAGAUAUAAAGUUGGAAGAUCUGUUAAGGAUUUAUGACCAAGAGAAAACCAAGUUCUUAUCAUCAUUUGUUGGGCAGAGAAAUAAAGUAAAUGUGUUAGUGGCAGACAGAAAAAUGAGAAAGCUCAUAUUUUCUCUAAGACCAAAAGAGAAGGAAGAAUUGGUUGAGAAGAAGAGAAAUCUGAUGGCUAGACUUCAAGUUGGGGACAUAGUGAAAUGCAGCAUCCAGAAGAUAGCUUACUUUGGGAUUUUUGUUGAGGUCGAAGGAGUUUCUGCAUUAAUUCAUCAGUCAGAAUUAUCAUGGGAUGCCACUUUGAACCCAUUGUCAUAUUUUAAGAUUGGUCAGGUUGUAGAGGCAAAAGUUCACCAAUUAAACUUUGCUCUUGAACGCAUAUUUCUAUCAUUGAAGGAGGUCAUGCCUGAUCCAUUGAUGAAUUCCUUAGAAUCUAUAGUUGGGGAUCAUGGCCCCUUAGAUGGGAGAUUGCAGGCAGCUCCAACAGAUGUAGAGUAUGUCCAUACUUUAUCUGGAAGGAUGGAGCAAAGGUGGACACCAGCAAAUUAGAAAAAAGAUUAUUGAAUAACAAGCAGCCUGAUUGAAUAUGGUUUUUUCUGCUGAUGACGGUAGUAAAUUUGUGGAUCUUUAUGUGGGAAUAAGAAUUGAAUUCAAAUUCUAACUAAAGGAUGUGGUCUAGUAAUAAAGUUGACUCCUUUGAGGUUGGGUGAUAAUAUGGGUUUGAUGCUUUGGCAUUGCAUAAACCUGGGGCAAUGAUACUCUCACCCCUUGCCUUUGCCCUUUGGUUAGGUGGUGUUGGACUAGGCUUGGAAUCACUUAGAGGGAUCCAUGUAGGUCUUAGUCUUGGCCGAUCAGGCAAUAUGAGAAUAUCUGUAUGGACUACUGUUAGAGGUUCCCUGCUGAUAUGGGAGCUAGAAAAUGCUUAGGGAUUGCAUCUGUAGGCUAGCUUCCCUACUGUACCUUUUUUCUGUAUUCAAAAAGGAAAAGUUGUCUUAUGACUUUAAAAUUCAAUCAAUCAAGUAGACUGUAGUUUUGUUCUUGAUUUCAGGGUGUAAUAAGGUUUCAGAAUGUAAAUUGAAAUACUGUGAGUUACGUUUUAUAGCUUUUGUUUUCUACCUUAUGAUAAAUUCAUGGGCCCUUUGGUCUUGCCUGAUUUUUAUUCGUGUGCAUAAUAUUUUCAUUCCAAUCAAUCACUUCAUUUAUAUGCUGUUUUAUGAUGUGGCAGAGAAAGAAAUCUUCUUUCCAUAAAAUGAAUCAUCAAUGUGGACAUGAUGUUUUAUUUUAUUGUCCAGUUGAUUUUGUGGUUUGACAUGACUAAUCAUUAAAUUAUGCUAAUUUUCGUACAGUGGUCUGAAGUGGAAUCCCUAGUCAAAGAAUUACAAAAGAUUGAGGGAGUCCAGUCUGUUUCAAAAGGUCGUUUUUUCAGAAGCCCUGGUUUAGCUCCAACCUUUCAGGUUUAUAUGGCAUCCAUCUUUGAGAAUCAGUACAAGUUACUUGCUCGAUCUGGAGACAAAAUACAAGAGGUGAUAGUUCAAACUUCUUUAGAUAAAGAAAGGAUGAAAUCAGCUGUUAUGACAUGUGCGAACCGGGUGGAAUAGUUGUAGCCUGCUGUUGAUUUUUGUGUGAUUGUACAAUCUUUUGGGAUUGCAGCCUGCAAUUAAGGAGCAUUUCAAGUUAAUUUAUACAAGAGGUUUGGUGGAGUAUCAGUAUUUUCUUUCCUGUAAAAAGUGAUAAUAAAGGCAUUUUUUUCUUGUGUUCUUUCCUUCUUU